rnacentral:rRNA from 1 species
AGAGUUUGAUCAUGGCUCAGGACGAACGCUGGCGGCAUGCCUAAUACAUGCAAGUCGAACGCUGAAGCACUCUGCUUGCAGAGUGCGGAUGAGUGGCGAACGGGUGAGUAACACGUGGGAAAUCUGCCUAGGAGUGGGGGAUAACAUUCGGAAACGGAUGCUAAUACCGCAUAUCUUCUGGAACCGCAUGGUUCUUGAACGAAAGACGGCUUCGGCUGUCGCUCUUAGAUGAUCCCGCGGCGUAUUAGUUAGUUGGUGGGGUAAAGGCCUACCAAGACAAUGAUACGUAGCCGACCUGAGAGGGUGAUCGGCCACACUGGGACUGAGACACGGCCCAGACUCCUACGGGAGGCAGCAGUAGGGAAUCUUCCACAAUGGACGAAAGUCUGAUGGAGCAAUGCCGCGUGAAUGAAGAAGGUCUUCGGAUCGUAAAGUUCUGUUAUUAGAGAAGAACAAGUCGAGGAGUAACUGUCUCGACUUUGACGGUACCUAACCAGAAAGUCACGGCUAACUACGUGCCAGCAGCCGCGGUAAUACGUAGGUGACGAGCGUUGUCCGGAAUUAUUGGGCGUAAAGGGAGCGCAGGCGGUUGGAAUAGUCUGAUGUGAAAGCCCACGGCUUAACCGUGGAAGGUCAUUGGAAACUGUCCAACUUGAAUGCAGAAGAGGUAAGUGGAAUUCCAAGUGUAGCGGUGAAAUGCGUAGAUAUUUGGAGGAACACCAGUGGCGAAGGCGACUUACUGGUCUGUAAUUGACGCUGAGGCUCGAAAGCGUGGGUAGCAAACAGGAUUAGAUACCCUGGUAGUCC